AGGCUAAUACCGCAUAACCUCUACGGAGAAAAGCGGGGGAUCUUCGGACCUCGCACUGACGGAGUAGCCCAUGUCCGAUUAGCUUGUUGGCGGGGUAACAGCCCACCAAGGCGAUGAUCGGUAGCUGGUCUGAGAGGAUGAUCAGCCACACCGGGACUGAGACACGGCCCGGACUCCUACGGGAGGCAGCAGUGGGGAAUAUUGGACAAUGGGGGAAACCCUGAUCCAGCGAUGCCGCGUGAGUGAAGAAGGCCUUCGGGUUGUAAAGCUCUUUCGCAGGGGAAGAAAAGGUAUUGAGAAUAAUCAAUGCUGCUGACGGUACCCUG
rnacentral:rRNA from 1 species